rnacentral:tRNA from 1 species
AGGCGCGUAGCUCAGGGGUUAGAGCACUUGCUUGACACGCAAGGGGCCGGCGGUUCGAGACCGCCCGUGCCUACCA